rnacentral:lncRNA from 1 species
CACGUAGCCACCAGGGAGGCAGGACUCCAGGGCAUCACCUAGGGUCAGCAACCCCAGCCAAGGACACUCCAGUACCAAGGAUGCUCUGGAACUCUCCAUCACAACACAGCAUGCAGCUUCUGAAUGCCAUCAGCAAAGGCUUGACUUACCUCUUCACACUUGGUUUGUGCAUUUUGUUACCAAGCUGAGCGCCUGGCAGAAAUUCUUCUGUUCAAAUGCAGAAGCCCAGCCCAGAAAGCUGAAAGAAGGAAAAGAAACCUCAGGAAAAAAAAAAAAAAAAAAGGAGACACGCUUAUUAAGUGGGACAGACUAUAAUAAAAAAAUAAUAAUAAAAAAACAGUGGUGUGCCCCAGUAGAAAGUAAAAUGAAAUAAUCCCUGUUUCAAGCUCAGAGAGAACAAAUGUCUUAUUAUGCUAAAAGGCCUCAAGUUGGAAAAGACAGUUCCCACAGCCAUCGUUUU